GACAGAGGUGCCGAGCGUUAGGCGGAAUCACUGGGCUUAAAGCGUGUGUAGGCGGCGGCGUAAGUACCUUGUGAAAUCCCCCCGGCUCAACCCGGGGGAACUGCUGGGUAUACUGGGUGCCUUGGGUCAUCUAGGGGCUGCCGGAACAAAUGGUGGAGCGGUGAAAUGGCGUAGAUAUCAUUUGGAACGCCAACGGCGAAAGCAGGGCAGCUGGGGGAUGCACCGACGCUGAGACACGAAAGCCAGGGGAGCGAACGGG
rnacentral:rRNA from 1 species